rnacentral:lncRNA from 1 species
GUGUAUAUAUGGAAUCAUUAAUUAAGUAUAUAUGAUGAGACGUGGUCGGUUUGAUUAUUAUCUUAAUUGAGUCUUCUACAAUUGGUUCUGAUUUCUCCGGUGGUUCCAGUCUUAGGGUCGAGAUUUCCCAUCCUGAUCAUUGAUUGAGCGAAGGCGUCAGCAAAUGCGCUCUCGCUGCUGGCUAAGCUGUUGACAGUAGCGAUAGUUGAAGCUCCUGGAGUGGAGAACAGAACUUGGUCACUUCUCAAAAGCCCUUGGUUGUUCUGAAGGUUUGUGUAGUAGUUUCUAUCGAAUGUGUUUGGCGUCGUCGGGUCCAAAUCCACGAAUGUGCCUGACCCUGAUUGACAAGUUUGGUUCAACUGACUCGCGUAUGUCGAGUCUAUGGGUGAGUCAUCUGCGUUUGGAUUAUUGUUUAGGCGUCCGCUGAAAAACAUGCAUCUUGAACGCCCGAAUGUGUGUGCACCUGCAAAGUGUAUACCAUAAAAAUAUUUAAUCAUUUGUACGUAAAACUAAUUUUGUAUAUGUAUCUUACUAGAUUAUUUAUUCAUAAUUUGACAUAUGACAAACUCAAAUACGUGUACUGCAUGUUAAAAGAUGCAUGAAACACGUCCUUUUUAAUUAAAUAAACUCAAAGAGAGGGUUUAACAAUUGAGAUAAAAAGGUGAUAUAUAUGCAUGUGUGAAAAAUAUUUAACGUUAUAUCUUGGUUGUCGUUCAAUUCAUAUUUAAUUACCACAUGACAAAUAAUAUAUUUUUAUACCAUACGAGCUAUCAAUAUUGAUUACCUGAUAGAGCAACGAGAUCGGUAUUAUCGUUAAGACCAACAUCUCUGAAUAUACCUUGGAUGUUGGAGAGACUCUCAAAAGGACUUGGGAGCCUAUCCCUGGCUCCUUGCAAAUUUGCUGUUCUACUGUCUCUUCUUCCCAAUUGAACCGUCCAACCCUGUCCUGAUGCCUACAAAAUUAUUCAACACAUAUAUAUGUGCUUAAUUAGCUUGUGUUAUUAAAUGAAUUAAUUAACCUAAAAUGGUAAUUAGGUUGGAAUAGUUAGGUACCAAGGUGACUGCGUCUCUAGAACCAAGGGCUAGAAUGUCAGCACAUGAAACGACUCCUGGACAAACAUUCUCAACUGCGGUUUUGAUGUCAUUAACAAUAUUGAAACCCGUGAUGCCUCCGUUUCCAGGUGCACCCAACUCACUCGUUAUACCAUCUUGGUCCUCGAGUAGCACCGACCCAUCACAACCCUGCAAAUAUACAACAAUAAUUAUUUGAUUACAUCAUAAUCCUUUCAACUUACAAACUCUUUUAAUUAAAAUGUCAGCAAAGAGAGUAAGACAGCAACUUACGUCGACGAAACAAUCGUGAAAAUGGAGACGGAUGAUUUUGGCACCGGCUCUAUCGUCACUUUGAAGAGCUUGCUGCAUAACACCAUGCACAAUGCUUGAUACGUUAGGACAUGUAGUGUCAUAGAAGGUGGAGCUAAGCUGAGAUCUCACAGACACAGCCAUCAUCAAACACAGUACCAAAGAAACAAUAACUUUAGAAGAAGCCGCCAUUAUUACAAACUUAUGUGUUAUAAUAAUUAAGCUUUAAUUAAUACUUUAAGUUGUGAGGGAAAGUAUAAACAGAGGCAUGUCCUUUUAUAGAGAUGAAGAAGGUGGUGAGGCUGAGCUCUGCUACGUACCACAAGACAAAUCCAAACGUUGAAAAUAAGCCAACCCUUUUACUUUUCAAAACACAACUCAAUAGAAAAUUUCAGAUUUGCAUGGAUUUUCCCCACUUUGAAUUUUCUUCCCUCCUUUUCUUAAUCUAAUUAUUAUUGGGAAUAUAUAUAAAAACAAACACUGCACAUAACAUGGGGAGGAAUUAUUCAAUUUUGGAGAAUCAAAGUUUAUCAUUUCUUCCUCAUUUCUCCUAUUAUUAAACAUACUUUGGGUUUGUUGAAUUGACUUCUUUAGAAUCAAAAGCUAAUUAGCGACUAAAUCUUUGAUUAAUUAUUAGCGAAGUUAACUAAAAAAAAAAUGCUAUCUCUAUCAAAAGUUGAAUUAUGUAUAUUGUAAACAUUAUUAUGGUAAUUCAAAUGAUUUACGCCAUGGAAUUCCAAGCAGAAGACACCAAAUUAAAUGAAUUUCAUUACUUUUCAACAUGUUUUAAUUAGCUAAUUAUAAUUAAAGGGCAAUUUGCUUGGUGUUUCUUUUUUCUUUUCUUAAAAUAAUCUAUUAAAAGAAAAGGUAAUUAGUUCUUACAUGGCUGCUAGUUAUAUAUCCAACAUGACCUUAAUUAUAAUUUGAUUCCUUUUCAUUGAUGGGUUGAAAUUUAGAAAACUUGUUCAUCAGAAUUAUCGGAUUUUUAGGAGAUUUUUCGGUUAUAUAAAUUAUAAAUGGUUUAAUUAAUUAAUAUAUAAUUGGGUUUGAAGGAAGGCAUCAUAAAAAUUAAAAAGUCAAAAAUUAAUGAUUGAUUAAUUAAGAUGGAGAAUUAUAUAAAGAACCCAAUGGUUAGUAAAGAGAAUAAUUGGGGGUGUGGUAAUGUAUUCCACUCUAAUUUUACUAAGUUUGGUUAAUUAAACAUAUUUAAAAUAAAUAAAUGUAAAAGUCUAUGAGGCUGCAUUUCACGUCAAAUCUUCAAGAUGACAGCUCAAACUAAUUUGGAAUUUUGUUGAAAGAAAAUAAAAUAAUCAAUAUAUAUAUAUAUUAGAUAAUAUGUUAUUCGUGUCCGUUUUGAUAAGUGAGAGACAGUACUCUUAGCCACGCUCUCACCAAUACUUAAUCUCGUAUUUCUCCCAAAAGUAUAGAAUUGCAAAAAUAGUAAAAUUUAUUGACGAUAGACGUUGUCACUUAUUAUAAGUUAUUGGUAUGUUAGUAAUAAACUUCAAGAACCAAAUCUAAACUUUGUCAUAUCUACGCAUUCUUUUGAUAAAAGAAAUACAACAAGACAUUUUUUUAAUCAAACAAUUAACUGUUUGUGACGUUCAAACUAAAAAACUUCUAUUUCUUUUUCUUUUAGAACAACGCUUAGUUGUGGUUGAGCUCAUGCAUCCCUUCAAUUGUGAUUGAAGAAAAAACAUAUAACUCACAAAAGAAAAGUUCAUUAGGAUUAAACAAUCAAUGUAAUUGUAAACUGCAUAAAAAUUGAUUCAACGAAUAAGCUGUUGCAAUUAGUCAGAGGAGAUGGCUAUAAAGUGACAUAUUCAUGUUCUUGUAUGGCUCUAAGAUAUAAACCAAAGAGUCACCUAAGAGUUAUAAACCCUACCAUUCUUGGUUUGAGGGAAAUAGACAUUUGAUUUUUCUUUACAACAGUGAUUGACACAAACACUUCAAACAAUAGUGAUUGAUAUAUAUAUAUAUAUUAUAUAUAUAUAUAUAAUUUAAAAAUAAAAUUCUCCAAACCGCUAAUUUGGACUAAGAAAUUGAAGUAUCUUUUGAGUUUACAUCAAAAAGGCUUUUCUAGAAUUGUAAUCCACGUGAUUGGUGGGCUAAAUGGAUAGAUAUAUGGGACCCUUUUUCUCUCUAUUAUUGCUUUCUCCCUUCUCCAUUACAUACUUAACCCAAUAUCCUAAAUUUGUACAUAAAUUAACUCCUUCCAUCCGAUUUAAUUUGAUACCAGUUUUGAAAUUUGUGAUUGUGAAUUCUAAUUGCAUUUAAUAUUCUUUCUUAAAAUCAAUUACAAUAUCCACAACAAAUAUUUAUAAUUAUAAUUUUAAAUAUAACGUACUUGUAAGAAUUUUAGCUACAUGCAUGUAGAUAAAAAUUUAUUAGUUAAAUGUCAAUUAAUGUCUAGGUUGAUAUAAGAAUGUUUACGUUUUAUUUUUUAGGUUUGAUAUUGAAUCAAGUACGGAUGAUAUAAUAAUGUUUUGUUUAGCUUCUCAUGUAGGUAAAUUUACGAGUAAUUGGAUAAGUUUUUUCUCUAAAAAGUAAUAAUUAAUAUUGCUAGUGACCAUUAUUUUAUAUAUGGGUAUAGUGCCCUUAGCCUAAUGAUUUUUGGAGAAUUAUUUGAGGUUAGGGUAUAAUAUAAGUUAUUGGUGUGGUGGUGGUAUAGUUGGUGUAAUUUUAUUUACCUAUAAAUAUUUGUAAUGUUUUCACUUAAAUGUGAAACAUUUAGUUUUUCUCAUUUUUUUGUUAUCAUUUCAAUUUCAAUUUAUUGUUUUUGUUUUUUUGUUUUUAAAAUUUUAUUCAUUAAAAUAAAAAACUAACUUGAUUUUCUUUUUGUUUUUAAAAAAUAAAUUUUAUUUUUUUGAAAGUCUUUCUUUUUCAUUUUCAAUUUUCUUUCUUAAUUUUAAAGUUUGAAAAAGGAAAAAAGUGAAUCUUUCUUUUUAAGAAUUAAUUUUAAAAAAGAGAAAACGAAAAUCAAAUAGAUUAUAUUAAACGAAAUCUUAAUUUUUGAUUAAAGCACCAAAUCAAAAUGAAACCUUAUGUUAAAAUGAACUUACACGUUCGAAUAAUUUAAAAUGACCAAAAUAAGAAAGAGAAAAAAACAUAUAAUUUAAUUAGUUGUACACGUUCUACUAGCAACCUUGAAAUUAAAAGUUCGAUUCUACCAUAGUCAUAUCUUGUAUGGUAAAAUAGUUGAUCAAUCAUGAAAAAGUUUCUUUUAUAUAGUUGUUGAUUUCAUUAUCAUUUAUAAUUGAAAGGAAGACUUGACUUGUAAAACAAGAAAAAUUUGAACAUCGGUAUGGUACUCCACAAUGCCUAUGGACUACAAUGCAUAAGUACAGUAAUAUGUCUCAUUCAUCAAAUGAGGAGAGUGAGUUUCGACCUCAUCCUUGGAAUAGAGGUUUGGGGAUCGGGCAUGGCAGUUUAGGCCUAGGUCAACACAUAUAUCUCCAUGUUGCAUAAAGAGAACAAACACAUUUUUUCUUCUAAUGCACAUUCAUCUGUCUUUUUGUUUUCUCUGUGUUCAUCGUUUUCAUACUUGAAAGAAAAUUUGAGGUGUUUUAUUACUUUUUGGUAUAUCCGAAAUAAAAUUAACCCAAUCAUUAAAAUCUACCCUUAUGCAUCAAAUUACAAAAUGAUUAAUAAUUAGUAACAAAUAUUCUUUUCAUGUACUGCAAAGAUGGGAAUUAAUAAGACUGGAAGCGGUUGUGUGAAAAGCAGUACUGGAGAGAGAACAAAAUAACCAAAAGCCAUACAACCUUCAGUCCUCAUCCAUAAGAAAAAGAGUCAAGUAUUUAUGUAAAUAAUAUCAAAUGAUCAAAGGUGUAUUUUCAACUAGACUGGGUAUGUUGAGUGUAUAUAUGUAUACACACUCAACAAUUAUCCAUAUCAACCUUCAACUAGACAACUAAACAGUGAGAUAUGAGACUCAUUUGUUGUCUACUUAGUCAACCCUAUCCACCUACCAUGUUUUCAGAAUGUUGUAGCAAACUGAACGGAUAAUUUCGUAUUGUUCUCCUGUGCACAUAAAAUAUCUUCUAGCUCUGAUAGAAGUGGAGUUAAUAAUUAGCACUUCAUUUGUUUCUUAAUUGUAGUUGUAUAAGUAUGACAGAAUUCCACCACCGAAGGCAACUGCACCGUUUAAGAGAUCACAUUCGAAGUCCUUUCUGCAUAAAUAUCACACAAACUUAUAUUGAAAAACUCGAUCCCGAUCGAAGCACCCAAAGCAAACGAACAAGAUAUAAAGGUGAAUAAGAAAUGGGUAAAGAUCAAGCAGGUGUGUGGGUCCAAUAAAUGGGGGGAUUCGUCAAACAAAUUAAUUUAUGCAUGGGAUUUGACAUUUUAACUAAUGACUCUAACACUCUACCAUUCCCUCUUUUCUUUGGGAAUCUUCAUCAUCAUUAAAUUUUAUUUUAUCCAUAAACCAAACAAAUUAACAUGAUUGACCAGAGACGCAGUCAAGAGAACGGUUAGCAGAUUUGUGUAAUUACUCCUGCAUUAAAUUUUCUACACCAACAUUAUUAUUAUUAUUAUUUUCUAAGUUCAUCAUUAAUCAAUGUUCAUUCACAACACUAUCCAAUAAGACUUGUGACAGUGAGAUAUUGCUAUUUUUCUUUUAUUUUCUACAUUAAAAAUUGGACUCUUUCUAUUUAUUUUAGUUCAACCGUUAUGAAUUAUGAGUUACGAAUAUCUAACUAUAGACGAUACUUUAAAUUGAUUAGCUUAUUACACGUGUGAUACAUGUAAGUUUCAUAAUUUUAUUUCAAUAUAUACAUUGGUUUUCUUCAAAAAAAAAAUUUAUUUACAUAUAAUGUUCACUUGAUAUUAUAUCAUCAAACCUACAAAUGAAAAAAUACAUCACUAAUAACAAUUACUUUUAUCACAAUCCGAUUUAGAGGGACUCAUUAAUGAGUAUGUAGAUUUAUCUCUUAAACAACCAACGAUCUUAUUAUAUCAUUUAUCUUUAUAAUUAAGAUUUUGAGGUUUCGUUAUGUUUUUAGAUGUGAUAUUCUCAUAUAUAUAUGCCCUUAAGAUAUAGUACUUUUGUAGGUUCAACAAUUUAGAUAUUUGUUUGAACCUCAUGGGAUCUAAGAUCGGAUUAGGUAUUGAUGAAACAUGUGAUUUUCCAUCUUAAAAUUAUCGAUUGAUAAUAGGAUUAGAACAAAAAUUAGUUAGAUAUAAAAGAAACAAAAAAAAAAAAAAAAACAAAUAGUGAACUUAAAAAGAGAACAUGUGCAAAGAAACAUGUAACACACUAAAACUUGGUUAUAGUUUCUCAUAAUUUAAAAAUAGAAAGAUGAAGGAACACUUAAACAUUGCAAGCCAUGGCACUGGCUUGAAAUUAUCAUCCCCUCAUGAUUUUAAAAUUAGAAGUGUGCAAAAAUUGGAUUGCUACACCUCAUGAAUGGCAGUGUAUUUUAAUUAAAAUAUAAUGUUGCUUUUUUCCAUUUCAAUUUUCUGUUGAAAUAAAUGAAAGGAGAAAAUGAAAACUUCAAACAUUAGAGAUUGAAAUAAUUGAAACCUACUACUAGAGAAUAAUUAAGACGUGUAGCCUAGAGAAAUUUAAACUUACUUCAUGUACUAAUAACCCUAAUCAAUAGGUAAUCUCAACCCAACCAUAAAUAUGAUAAGAGAUUAUUCUAAGCAAAUAAUUUUGUACCUUUAGAUGAAAGAGAGAAGUUAAAAAGUAGUUAAAAUUUGUAUUAGUAGUUAUUAAGAAGAGGUUAAUUGUAGGCCGUGAACAUCACGUACGUACUAAAAUCAUCAAGUUGACCAAUUUAAUCAAAGUCACUUGAGUAGUGUACGUACAAUUAUCAAGUUGACCAAUUUAAUCAAAGUCACUUGAGUAGUUUGGAAAUUAUGUUUGUUAAAUAUACAAAAUCAACAUUGUUCGUAUGCCGACAAAAAAUUAUUUGGUCUAAACUGAGAGACAUAAGUAAUUUGGUCUAAACUGAUCAAACUUAUUUUGUUAUUUUUUAGCGUCAAUUGUCGCUUGUUGUCUCAUCAAAACGUCACUCUCUCCUACGUCCCGAACGCCUCGCCACUUCUCUCCCUCAUCAUGUCUCUCUUUGUCGACCAUUUUCCGUUUUGUCCCUCGCGAUCAAAACAACUUAAUUGGUUAAUCUAUCGGUUUAAACAAGUGAAAAAACUUUAAUAAUUUUGUCGAAAACUCGAUUUGGACCGGUCGAUACUCACCCUCAAUAGUAACAGUUGAAAAAGCAGCUUGUGCGUUUGGUUUGAUCACUAUACAUUUUUGUAAAAUAGAAAGACACCACUUUUAUUGAUCAUAUAUAGAACAAAAGACACUAUAUGUUUUUGAGCUUUGAUGUUUGGCAUCCCCAUGCACUCUCUCAUUUUAAGCCACAAGAGAAAAUUGAUCAAAACCCACUUUUUCCCCUCGAACAAUAAAAAGCAACCACAAAAACAAGAUAUGAUUAUUAUAAUACAAUUGAGUUUGACCGUAACGGAACCACCAUAUAUGAUAUCAUAUAUAUAAUUUUAGUUCAGCCUUCGGCAAUUGGAUCUAAUUUCUCCUUGGUUACCAGUCAACGGUUGGAUAUUUCCCAUGUUGAUCAUGGACUGGCCGAAGCUUUCGAAGAACUGGUUCUGGCUGGCAGCGAAGAGGUUGACGAUUUUGACGGUGUCUUCGCCGGGAGUGGAAUGAAGGACUUGGUCACUGGUGAGAAGGCCGGUGUUGGACUGAAGGUUUGUGUAGUAGUUCUUGUCGAACUUGUUGGGAGUCGUGGGGUCCAGAUUCACAAACGUGUCUCGGCCGCUACUGCAAGCUUGACGGAGCUGUUGUGCAUACCUGGGAUUCAGCGUGCUAUCUGGAUUUGAAACGUUUAAACGUCGGU